UUCUACCAUUGUAGGACUUGAAGAGAGCUCCCCUUGGAACUCUGAAGAUUAGCAUGGCCCUUGUGCAAGGAUGACAUGCAUAAAUCAUGAAAUCGUCCAAACUUUU
rnacentral:snRNA from 1 species